AUGCCAAGGGGCAGAGCUCUAAUAAAUACCAUAAAAACGAGUAACCAGAGAGGCAAUACGCCUGGCUCCAGCCUGGACCGUCUUGCUCCGUGGAAUAGGGCUUCACAGCUCCACCUGAGACCCUUCCGAUCUCCUACUUCCAAGGUGAUUGGGGGGCAGUGCCCACACUCAAGCAUAGUAUCUCCAAUAGAUCCCAUUGCUGUAGAACCAGGUUCACUGUGUGACCCUGGGAAGGCCUCUUCCCCUCCUUGGCUUGUUUGCUUAUCUGUUAGCCAAGGGGCUUCUAAGCCCACUUCCUAGCUGACACUCUGGUUACACGGAUCUCUGGGCCUCAGUGGACACUUGCUUCUUGAGAGGAAAGGUGGUCCUCCUCCCCUCCCCCAUCUCUCUCUGGUGACCUGUGCCCCCAACCUCACCAGCAAAAGAGGAGUCAGAAGAUAUAUGCCCUAAAGACUCUCUUCACAGGUACUCAGGAGAUGCCUGGAGGGACAAGACACUGGGUGGUAGGAAAAGAAUCUCUCUAAUAGGUCGAGUAGGUAUUUUUCUCCUGGCCUAGGAUGGAGAGAAGGGAAAGGAAGAGCCAGAGGUUGAACCUGAUACCCAAACCCAAUCAGAUCCUAACCUGAACCAGCAUCCAGUCCUGAGUCUACUCCAGGCAAGAUACGAAGACAAAGAGAGGCCAGGAUCACACUUUCCUUUCUCUCUAGACCGGGCUCCACGUAGCUAUUUCUGUUGGAAACUGGAGAUGGGCUUGGCAGGAGAGCUUGCAAAGAGAGAGAUUCAAGCUUCAGACAGGGGCUAGAUUUGCUGACUGCUAAAGCCCCUUCCGGUCCUGGCACUAUGGGAAGCAGCCCCCGGACCGGGCCAUCGGGGUUGCUGAAAUAGCUAUGGUGGCCACUUUGCCUGUCGCCGUGCAGAGCCCCUGCCGUCUGAGGGCCCAGUUUCCAAGGCAGGAUGCCCAUAUGGGUCACGGUCAGCCUCACCACCACCCCCACCACCACUCACCCUCCCCAUGCAUGCACUUCCAGAUCCCUGUUUAUGGAGGAGGGAGAGGCAGGCAGGCUGGGGAAACAGCCAUUUCUAUGCUAACUGCCCACAUGUGGCCUGAGGGUUGGAAAAUGAAACUGCAAAAAUGCUCAGAAAUCAGUGAAGCUGGAGUCCCUGAGCCCUGAAGGCUGAGAAGAACCCCGGCCACCUGGGUCUGACCUGGAUCGAAGCCCUGGCCCUGGACACUGAGGGCCCAUCAGGCUGCGGGAAGGGCUGCUGGCCCUGGAAACCAGUGACCAGCGUGACUCCACUUAGAACACCGCUGUGUUCAAAAAGCGGAGAAAGCGCAUGACCCCUCCGCACAGCCGGGACCGCACACGGCCAGCUUGCCCCCUCCUUUUCCAAACCCACCCUCGGACAGGAGGCCGGGAUGCCCAGUGGAAGAAGUACAAGUGGGACUCGGGAGAUGGGCUCUGCCAGGAUAUCUGCAAGAUAUCCCCACUCUGGGCCUCAGUUUCUCCAUAAGGGGUUAGCCUAUGUGACCCCAUGGGCUCUUCCCACACAGCAUCCCCCUGGCAGGAGAUCUGGCAGACCCGUUCACAGUGAGGUGCAUGCAAAUGGUAAGGCUGAAGUAUUUCCUUUCCCAAUUUAGGAGGAAAAUGUCUAUCACAAGGAACAAAGAGACGACGACAGAACUUCAGGUAAGAGAAUAAGCUGGUCUGCUCACCCUCUUGAGGAAAUUGGCCAAAGAUGUCCUCUGACAAAAAUGAAAGGUGUGACCUAGCAUAGAAACUUGAACCUCACUAUUUGGCCGAAGUCACUCCCAAAAAUAGGGAGGAGGAAGGAGUUGGCCAUUGGCCCAGGCCCCCACCCUCUCGAGGACAACCCCAAAGCAAGUGUCCCCAGAUACCUUCGUGCCUCUCACCCACCGUCAGUCUUGUGGUCUCAGGGUCUAGUGAGGGCAAGGGGGCUGGCUGCUUCCUGCCAAUGCCAUGGCCUUUAGCAGGGCUUGGGCAGGGGGUCCUGCACACCACACCUGGUAUGCAAGGGAUACUAGAUUAAAUAAACACUAAGCGCCAAAUUGCA
rnacentral:lncRNA from 1 species